rnacentral:rRNA from 1 species
UACAGAGGUCUCAAGCGUUGUUCGGAUUCAUUGGGCGUAAAGGGUGCGUAGGCGGCGUGGUAAGUCUGAUGUGAAAUCUCGGAGCUUAACUCCGAAACUGCAUUCGAUACUGCCGUGCUUGAGGACUGGAGAGGAGACUGGAAUUUACGGUGUAGCGGUGAAAUGCGCAGAUAUCGGGAAGAACACCCGUGGCGAAGGCGGCUCUCUGGGACGGUACUGACGCUGAGACGCGAAAGCGUGGGGAGCGAACAGG